AUGAACGCUGGCGGCGUGCCUAAUACAUGCCAGUCGAGCGAACAGACGAGGAGCUUGCUCCUCUGACGUUAGCGGCGGACGGGUGAGUAACACGUGGAUAACCUACCUAUAAGACUGGGAUAACUUCGGGAAACCGGAGCUAAUACCGGAUAAUAUAUUGAACCGCAUGGUUCAAUAGUGAAAGACGGUUUUGCUGUCACUUAUAGAUGGAUCCGCGCCGCAUUAGCUAGUUGGUAAGGUAACAGCUUACCAAGGCAACGAUGCGUAGCCGACCUGAGAGGGUGAUCGGCCACACUGGAACUGAGACACGGUCCAGACUCCUACGGGAGGCAGCAGUAGGGAAUCUUCCGCAAUGGGCGAAAGCCUGACGGAGCAACGCCGCGUGAGUGAUGAAGGUCUUCGGAUCGUAAAACUCUGUUAUUAGGGAAGAACAAAUGUGUAAGUAACUAUGCACGUCUUGACGGUACCUAAUCAGAAAGCCACGGCUAACUACGUG
rnacentral:rRNA from 1 species